CAGUCGCCGCGGGAACACGAAGGGUGCAAGCGUUAAUCGGAAUUACUGGGCGUAAAGCGUGCGUAGGCGGUGAGUUAAGUCUGCUGUGAAAUCCCCGGGCUCAACCUGGGAAUGGCAGUGGAUACUGGCUCGCUACAGUGUGUCAGAGGAUGGUGGAAUUCCCGGUGUAGCGGUGAAAUGCGUAGAGAUCGGGAGGAACAUCAGUGGCGAAGGCGGCCAUCUGGGACAACACUGACGCUGAGGCACGAAAGCUAGGGGAGCAAACAGGAUUAGAUACCCCUGUAGUCCCUGUCUCUUAUAC
rnacentral:rRNA from 1 species